CUGGAAACCGGCCUCUCAGAUUCCCCUUACCUGAUUCAAAGAGCCUCUUUGGCCUAAAAGCCAACCCUGGCAGUGACCCGCACGCACACACGCACACACCGACAGCAGCCUCGGAGGUCACUCUGGACGGAUUCCCUACACCACAGGUGAAGCCGGGAGCAGCUCUCACCGGGGCUGUGGGUGCGGUGGGCGGGCUGGGUGCGCACCCCACCUUCUCGCCUCUUGGGGACAGUGCUGCGGCGGAUUCCACGCGGUCUCGAGUGUCCUCAGCGAGACUGAGCCCCUGUGGCCCUCUGGACACCUGCUCAGGCACGAGCCCCGUACUCCCGUUGUACCCAAAUGCUCGCCUCAGGUCCGCUGGGGGGAAACCCAAGCUCGAACGACUUCUUCCUGUUUUCUUCUGAAAAUUCCUGACUCUGUUCCCAUUCGUCUUUCUGCGUUUCAGGAGAGGCAGCACCCAGCCCAGCCAAGCCCUGCCCCUCUCCUCUCCCGCCUCGCCUCGAACAGUCCCUUCCUCCUCCCGGUGCCUCCUCGCCUGCACAGGCUCCCACCACAGAUCCCGACCGGCCUCCGGGUGCCUCCGGGUUUCCCCUCCCUACCCAACCCCCGCCUUCAACUGCAGCCCCGCGGUGCGCGGCGAGGACGUUUCCACCAGCGACAGCCUGGCCUCCAAGGGUGCACCUGGUACCGCGCGGGUGUCCCGCGGCACACCCUCUGGGGGUGCGAGGGCUCUCGGUGGCCUCCACAGAGGACGUGAAGGGCCCGUUUCCCGGAACGGCCGUGCCGCUCAGCCGCUCAGCCGCGCGCGGGACUGGGAGCCGCUUCAUUGACUCGUCUGCCCGGAGGAUCCCGCUGCUUCCUCACGUCCUGUAUCUUUCUAGAAACAUCCUGACCAUGACCCACAUGUGACACAGCUCAGCCAGUAGAUUGAGGCUUCCUGAGCAUAGAAGAGGAGGCUUACGGACCACCAUACCACUGCUCCCAGUGCAGAAGAGGUGAGCCACCUGGGCAUCAGCAGCACCGCACCCACCCCCUCAUCAAAAUGAGAAGACACAUAAACAAGUCUCAAAACCAGACUUCCAGAUCACCUACAGCAACCCCAAAGGGAAAUGAGAUGGAACACUCUGAUACUCAACCACCUGGACUCCCUGAACUGGUAACAAAAGAGAAUAUGGAAAAAGCAAGAGCAGCUAUCCUCUUUGCAGAUCAAGUGGAUUUCGAACCAACACUGAUUAAGAGAGACAAAGAAGGACACUACAUCCUUGUAAAGGGAACAAUCCAAGAGGAAGAGAUGACAAUCAUAAAUAUAUAUGCACCAAACACUAGUGCGCCC
rnacentral:lncRNA from 1 species